rnacentral:misc_RNA from 1 species
UUCGUUUCUCUCUCUAGAACGUUCUUUCUCUGUCUAAAGCUCUUCUAAUAUGGCAUCUCAAGCCAGCCUGCUCCUUCAAAAACAGCUUAAAGAUCUUUGUAAAAAUCCGGUGGAUGGGUUCUCCGCGGGCUUGGUUGAUGAGAAUAAUAUCUUUGAAUGGAGCGUUACCAUUAUUGGACCCCCUGAUACGCUUUAUGAAGGGGGAUUUUUUAAUGCCAUUAUGAGCUUUCCAUCCAAUUAUCCAAACAGCCCUCCAACUGUGAAGUUUACCUCAGAGAUAUGGCAUCCUAAUGUUUAUCCUGAUGGGCUUGUUUGCAUAUCAAUUCUUCAUCCUCCAGGUGAUGAUCCAAAUGGCUAUGAGCUUGCAAGCGAACGCUGGAUGCCUGUCCAUACAGUUGAAAGUAUAGUGUUGAGUAUCAUAUCAAUGCUUUCUAGUCCUAAUGAUGAAUCUCCAGCAAAUGUUGAAGCUGCAAAGGAAUGGAGAGAAAGGAGAGAGGAGUUCAAGAAAAAAGUUAGCCGCUGCGUGAGAAAAUCACAAGAAAUGUUAUGAUCCUUUACAGGCGUUUCUUUGCUGUUCGUGUGUAUCAAGUGAAUGUCUUAAUUUUAUGGUGGGUUUUUGUGGGGAAGGGGGGAGGGGGAUUGGAUCACUGGGUAAUUUAUCCUUGUAGAACACAAUUGAAUUCUCACUCCUAUCUCUUCAUUCACCUUUUCCUUUGAAUGGUCAUUGUUAUAACUCAAGAACAGUACUGUACUUUAAGACAUUUUGGUUAGUGUUCAUCUCAAGUGUUCUUGUGGGCCAAUAUUUCAUGUUUUAAGUGAUUGUCUCUUUGAAUUUUGAUUUUGUUCAGUUUGGGUUAUGGGAUGGAGUUAGUUUUGGUUAUGGCAUUCCAGAGUAAUGAAAUUGUUUACAGGAACAUGAAAUGGUAAUAUAAUAUGAGGUUAUGCUUUGUUAUUUCAGUGGUGGAUAUUACAAAGCUGGUGUCUAAUCAAAGCUCUUAAGUUCAUUAUACUUGGAGUAUAAAUUACAAUUAAAUCAUGUAUUGUUUUUCCUUUAAAAUUAAUUUUCAUAAAUGAAUUUUUACCUUUGAUGAAAACACCUCUCAUCUCUUAUUAACUGAUUUAUAGGUUACAAGUUUAGGUGCCAAAGAUGACGCUAGUUUAAAACUCUCUAAUUUGUUCUCCCUCAUCCGUGUCAACAAAAAGCAGUCUCUAAUUCUUCCAAAUUUAACUCUCUAUUGGCCAAUGGAAAUAAAAGGAAGA